UACGGAGGGGGCUAGCGUUAUUCAUCCUGAUUGGGCGUAAAGGGUAUGUAGGUGAUGAAAAAUAAUUGUUGAGAAAGAUCAGGUUUAUUUCUUGAAAGCACAAUAAUUAUUGAUCAAUUCGAGAUUUAAGAGGUGGGCGGAAUUACUAAUGUCGAGGUAAAAUAUGACGAUAUUAGUGCGAAUACCAGGGGCGAAAGCGGCUUUCUUUAAUGUCUGACACUGAGGUACUAAAGCAUGGGGAUCAAACAGG
rnacentral:rRNA from 1 species